UCCGGGGCGGAAGGGACCGCCACGUCAUCUGGCUCCGCUCGCCAGCCGGGCAGUGGAUGGUGGGAGUCAAAAUGGCGGCAGCGGUGGCGGCAGCCAGUAUUCGGGAGAGACAGACAGUGGCUUUAAAGCGUAUGUUGAAUUUUAAUGUACCACAUGUUAAAAACAGCACAGGAGAACCAGUAUGGAAGGUUCUUGUUUAUGACAGAUUUGGACAAGAUAUAAUCUCUCCUCUGUUAUCUGUGAAGGAAUUAAGAGAUAUGGGAAUCACUCUUCAUUUGCUUCUGCACUCUGAUCGAGAUCCUAUUCCAGAUGUUCCUGCAGUAUACUUUGUAAUGCCAACUGAAGAAAAUAUUGAUAGAAUGUGCCAGGAUCUUCGGAAUCAGCUCUACGAAUCAUAUUAUUUAAAUUUUAUUUCUGCUAUUUCAAGAAGUAAACUGGAAGAUAUUGCAAAUGCAGCAUUAGCAGCUAGUGCAGUAACUCAAGUAGCCAAGGUUUUUGAUCAGUAUCUCAAUUUUAUUACCUUGGAAGAUGAUAUGUUUGUGUUGUGUAAUCAAAACAAGGAGCUUAUUUCAUAUCGUGCCAUUAAUAGGCCAGAUAUCACAGACACAGAAAUGGAAACUGUUAUGGACACUAUUGUUGACAGCCUCUUUUGCUUUUUUGUUACAUUGGGUGCUGUUCCUAUCAUCAGAUGUUCAAGAGGAACAGCAGCAGAAAUGGUGGCUGUGAAACUAGAUAAGAAACUUCGAGAAAAUCUAAGAGAUGCCAGAAACAGUCUUUUUACGGGUGACACACUUGGAGCUGGCCAAUUCAGCUUCCAAAGGCCUUUAUUAGUCCUUGUUGACAGAAACAUAGAUUUGGCAACUCCAUUACACCAUACUUGGACAUAUCAAGCACUGGUGCAUGAUGUACUGGAUUUCCACUUAAACAGAGUGAAUUUGGAAGAAUCUACAGGAGUGGAAAACUCUCCAGCUGGUGCUAGACCAAAGAGAAAAAACAAGAAAUCUUAUGAUUUAACUCCAGUUGAUAAAUUUUGGCAGAAACAUAAAGGAAGUCCAUUCCCAGAAGUUGCAGAAUCCGUUCAGCAAGAACUAGAAUAUUAUAGAGCACAAGAAGAUGAGGUCAAACGUCUUAAAAGCAUUAUGGGACUAGAAGGGGAAGAUGAAGGAGCCAUAAGUAUGCUUUCUGACAAUACUGCUAAGCUAACAUCAGCGGUUAGUUCUCUGCCAGAACUCCUUGAAAAAAAAAGACUUAUUGAUCUUCAUACAAAUGUUGCUACUGCUGUUUUAGAACAUAUAAAGGCAAGAAAGCUGGAUGUAUAUUUUGAAUAUGAAGAAAAAAUAAUGAGCAAAACUACUUUGGAUAAAUCUCUUCUUGAUAUAAUAUCAGACCCUGAUGCAGGAACUCCAGAAGACAAAAUGAGACUGUUUCUUAUCUAUUACAUAAGUACACAGCAAGUCCCUUCUGAGGCUGAUUUGGAGCAGUAUAAAAAAGCUUUAACAGAUGCAGGAUGCAACCUUAAUCCUUUACAGUAUAUCAAACAGUGGAAGGCUUUUGCCAAGAUGGCCUCAGCUCCUGCCAGCUAUGGAAACACUACCACUAAACCAAUGGGUCUCUUAUCACGAGUCAUGAAUACAGGAUCUCAGUUUGUGAUGGAAGGAGUGAAGAACUUGGUCUUGAAACAGCAAAAUCUACCUGUUACUCGUAUUUUAGACAAUCUCAUGGAGAUGAAAUCAAACCCUGAAACUGACGACUACAGAUAUUUCGAUCCCAAAAUGCUACGUGGCAAUGACAGCUCAGUUCCUAGGAACAAAAAUCCAUUUCAGGAGGCAAUUGUUUUUGUGGUGGGAGGAGGCAACUACAUAGAAUAUCAAAAUCUUGUUGACUACAUAAAGGGGAAGCAAGGCAAACACAUUUUAUAUGGCUGCAGUGAGCUUUUUAAUGCUUCACAGUUUAUAAAACAGGACUCCUUUUACAUAUUCACUAGCCACAUAAUGAUUUUUUAGUCAACAACAGCCCAUGUAUACAAUAUAAUACAGCUGUGCUCUCAUAAGAUUAUAACACAGCUGACAAAUUCCCAUCAUCAAGUGAUAUCAGAGCCAUCAUAAUGCAGCACAUUAGCUGUCACAACUUGGACAGAAAUAACACAGAAGAACCUUAAUAUGAUAAUCCACUUGGAGCUUGGAUAAAUGUUAAAAAGAAAAGUCAAAAGAGCCAGAUAUUUUCCUUUCUAAAACAAUGUCCUAACAGUGAAACCCAAGAGUUGUUAAUUUUUAAGGAAAUUCUAUACUUAAUAUAAUGUAUACUGAUUAAAAGAAUAAAGCAUUUCAGAAAUAAAAUUUUAACAUUUUUC